rnacentral:sRNA from 1 species
UUCUAUAUAUACUAAAACCCAAACAUCUGAUUACUGUUCUAGGGCAGCGUGCGGACCAAAAUACCUCUCAAUUCGUUUGUUAAGCUAAUUUUUUGCCAUAUUUUCUACAGUAAAAUGACUUCCUCGCCCUCCCAGGCCACGCGUUCACCUCUCCGGUUUCGAUUUCUUUGGGUGCUUCGGUUCUCUCUCUCCAUUAUCAGCUUUUCUUAUUUUGAUUGACCCCGGCUCUCCCCGUCUCCCUCUUCGCCUCACUCUUCUCUGCACAAGCUGCUCGAUUUAGAGCUUCACCAUAUCUCUUCGAAUCAAGGUGUCUAUUUCUCUCCCUAUUUUCCCAAUCUAGGUUUCCCUCUGUCUCUGUGGAAAAACCCUAGAUAUCGCCGCUGCCGGAGAGUCGAAGCUCCGCCCUUUGAGCUUCAAUCGGCCUUGCCCAUCGCCUCCUCGCGGCGCCUCCACCUAAAUCCCUCUGGUUUUUGAAAAAAAAUUCACCUUCAGAGAUUGAGUAAAAAUAUAUAAAGGCUGUUGGUGAUCGGUAUAAGACAAAAUAAAAAAGACAACUUGGUGGAGAUCAGAUAUCUGAUGUGUUUGAUCAGCAUCUCCAUGUUGCUUUGAGUAAGCGCCUCCUGUAUAUAUGGAUGGAUUCACCUUGCAAACACUGAUCACUAGAAUAUUCAAAAGUUUUCAUUGGUCAUUUCACUUAGUAUACCUGCUGAUUGAGAAGAAAAAUAAUUAAUUUCGGAAAGCUCUGAUUGUUGCAGAGAUUGCAUUGUUUUUGGCUCAGAGGAAAAUUACAAUUGUCAAUUUGGAUGCUGCCAACGAUGCAUAACUGUAUCCUUUUCUCUAUUUUUUUGUGUUUUUUUCUCUUUCUAAUUUGCAGUAUUGCAUUGUAUUCCAAUGUAGAGUGUUGAGCCCUUAAUGAAUUUAGUUAUGAAUGUUUCGUGAACAUGGAGGAUCUUAUAAAACUCAGUCAUGUGAUGGUGGAGCGCUCUCUGGUCCCAAUGGAGUUGAAAUCAUUGAAGCCUCUUGCUUUUGCCCUUUGAUCAUCUUUAUCACCGCUUGAGUGUCAAAAUCAGCGGUUUCCUGUUUCGGGUAUAGAAUACCCUCAGAAGCUGACAGCCUGACUUUAAUUAUGCAUCCUGCCAUGAGAGGCCAUAACAGUACUUGUGAGUUUCCAUGGUUUGAAACAAGAGCCAGUUGUGGUAGGUACAUAUAAUGACUUAGUUCUGUGCUGCACAAGCGAGUUUAACCAGCGUGAUUACUACAUCUGCAAUCCAUAUACAAUCCAGUGGGUUCCUCUUCCUCCCCCACCACAAGUGUGCAAGUUUGUACUAGUGGGAUUCAUCUGUGAUCUUCCCUACUAUAACAACAAGGAAGAUUAUCAGCCAGGAGAUAUGAUCCAGCUUAAUGCGAAUUAUAGGUGCAGGGUUGUGAGAUUAAUGGAUCCUGAUGAUGCCGAUGACGAGGACAAGGACAUAAUAUAUUUCAGCAACUUCAAACUCAUCGACAUGAGAGAUUUCUGCACGUUCAAAGUGCAGAUCUUCUCUUCUGAGACUGGUGAAUGGAAGGAGACAACUGUAAGAUCCGAGAGAACUGUAACAUCCGCGUACAACUUUACUUUGGAAAUGAUGAGUGUCUGUACUGGCGUUGCUUCCAAACUAAUGCUGUAUUGGAUGGGCGAUGAUGAUGUCAUUCUUAUUCAGUUGGAUCCGUUCAUGAUCGACAAGAGUGCUAGUGCUACUUUAUCUACCUGUUAUAGACACCGUAUCAGGAAUGAGUGGGACGCUCUUCCAAUGAGGUGCAUAGCAGCGUAUGAUGGGGGUGUGCGGAUGUGCAACUAGGACUAUGUUUCCGCCUAUCUGUCUGUUUGUGAGUUGAAGGAAGAAGAAGAAGAUGAUGAUGAUCCGAGGGUGAGUAUCCAUGGAGGAUCAAAGAGUUUGUUUGUGAAACUUAAGAAGAGGGUUUAUUUGGUGGAUGAAACAAAGGUUGUGAUAGGUCCAUGGACAGAGAUUGAGGGGGUAUUUUUUGACCAAAAUAACGAGGAUACCUUGUAUAUGAUAGUAGAUACGAAGAAGCUCCAUGGUCGGAUAAAAGAUACUAUCAGGUGCAACAUUGUAACCGGAGAGGUGUCAAAGAUUGUUGGAAACAGAAAAUUUAAUUGUUUCAGAUUCUUCCCGAUUGUGAUCCUAUGGUGGCCGACUCCAGUCCCUCGACUAGCGCAAGGUGCAAUAUCCAAAUAGCGCAGAGGUGUCAAAGUAAAUUUUUUCAAAUUCUUCCCGGCCGUUUGAAAGCUUAUGUUUCCUUCUUGUUUGGUUGGUUCGAUGGUGAAGUUUGCUACGCUGUGGACUCAAACAAGUGAAGCUGGAGAUGGGUAGGAAAUUGGCAGGCGGAAUAGGGGGUGGCAUUGGCAUGAAUGUACAGAUUUCUACAUUGUAUUUGUUCAUCUCUCAAAGCCGUCGUCUUGUUAACUCAUUAUGCUUUAUUUUAUUUUCUUUGCUUCAAUUUCAAUAACUCAUUCCGCUUUAUUGCAUGAUGUCUUCGGUUAGCUUCAAGGGCUUCAAAUCUUUUCUUAUAGUCUCUUUCCAAGUCUUCCUAUAUAUUUCUUUACCUCUUUGGCCGCAACCUUCUAUCUCG